rnacentral:rRNA from 1 species
UUGGGWCACGACUAAACCURAAGGCGCAAUGAAAGUGAAGGUCCGCCUUGYGCGGWCCGAGGGAGGAYGGKCGUUCGGUUACGGCCGUCGCCUCGCACUCCCGGGGCGUCUCGUUCUCAUUGCGAGWAGAGGCGCACCAAGAGCGUACACGCUGGGACCCGAAAGAUGGUGAACUAUGCCKGGUCAGGASGAAGUCRGGGGAAACCCUGAKGGAGGUCCGUAGCGAUUCUGACGUGCAAAUCGAUCGUCGGAACUGGGUAUAGGGGCRAAAGACUAAUCRAACCAUCUAGUAGCUGGUUCCCUCCGAAGUUUCCCUCAGGAUASCUGGCGCUCGUAGCGCACGAGUUUCAUCCGGUAAAGCGAAUGAUUAGAGGCAUUGGGGUCGAAACGGCCUCAACCUAUUCUCAAACUUUAAAUGGGUGAGAUCUCCGGCUUGCUCGAACUAUUGAAGCCKCGAGACUSGAAUCAGAGUGCCAAGUGGGCCAUUUUUGGUAAGCAGAACUGGYGCUGUGGGAUGAACCAAACGCCKAGUUAWRGCGCCUAMAUCGACGCUUAUGGGAUACCAUGAAAGGCGUUGGUAACUUAAGAC